rnacentral:rRNA from 1 species
UACGUAGGGUGCGAGCGUUAAUCGGAAUUACUGGGCGUAAAGCGUGCGCAGGCGGUUUUGUAGGCCAGAUGUGAAAGCCCCGGGCUUAACCUGGGAAUGGCAUUUGGGACUGCAAGGCUUGAGUGCGGCAGAGGAGACUGGAAUUCCUGGUGUAGCGGUGGAAUGCGCAGAUAUCAGGAGGAACACCGAUGGCGAAGGCAGGUCUCUGGGCCGCAACUGACGCUGAGACGCGAAAGCGUGGGGAGCAAACAGG